rnacentral:rRNA from 1 species
GACGAACGCUGGCGGCGUGCUUAACACAUGCAAGUCGAACGAAGAGCGAUGGAAGCUUGCUUCUAUCAAUCUUAGUGGCGAACGGGUGAGUAACGCGUAAUCAACCUGCCCUUCAGAGGGGGACAACAGUUGGAAACGACUGCUAAUACCGCAUACGAUCUAAUCUCGGCAUCGAGGAUAGAUGAAAGGUGGCCUCUACAUGUAAGCUAUCACUGAAGGAGGGGAUUGCGUCUGAUUAGCUAGUUGGAGGGGUAACGGCCCACCAAGGCGAUGAUCAGUAGCCGGGCUGAGAGGAGGAACGGCCACAUUGGGACUGAGACACGGCCCAGACUCCUACGGGAGGCAGCAGUGGGGAAUCUUCCGCAAUGGACGAAAGUCUGACGGAGCAACGCCGCGUGAGUGAUGACGGCCUUCGGGUUGUAAAGCUCUGUUAAUCGGGACGAAAGGCCUUCUUGCGAAUAGUGAGAAGGAUUGACGGUACCGGAAUAGAAAGCCACGGCUAACUACGUG